ACGGAGAUCUUAGGAAAACUUUGAAGGAAAAAGAAUAGAAAAUGAUAGUUCUUUUAUGUUCCAGACAUUGCAAUCCAUUCUGAUGUUGGGCUUUUCUUGAUUAGCGAGAUGUAACAGAGUAUGGUAGUUAUGCUGUCUCUAACAGGACAGAAUAUUGGAAACAGUAUGGAGGAUGAGGACUUGAAAAGAAUGCUCCCAUGGCAGCAUUGUGAACGCAAGGCUAUCUUAGAGGACUUUCAAAAUUCAACAAUGACUGCCUUUUCAAUUAAGUAUAAACCAGGAGCCUUUUUACCACCAAAGCUCUGGCAUACCGCUGUUGAGGAGUCAAUCCUACUCACGAUAAAUCUGCAGCAAAAUUAACCUCAUUUUUCCAAAUGAUAUUGCAAACCUAAUGGAACCAAGACACGCAAAUAGAAUUCGCUGGAAAUCUUGUUAUGAAGUCCUGUUCUUCCCCCAGAUGUCUACUAUCAUUUAAUCACAAUGAAAAACAUAUGACAUGUCCUAGAUAUAAG
rnacentral:lncRNA from 1 species